rnacentral:lncRNA from 1 species
UAAGGACAAGGGAGGAUAACAUAUGGAUGAGAAGCUAUAAACUAAAAGAAAUAUAGGAGCAAUGGGGAACAAGUGAAACACAAUCAAAUCACACCCACAACCCUCUAAUUCAAUCCUCUUCUCGACUUCAUCAUUCACACAAUAUUUUUUUUAAUUUUUCACAUUUUUCUGUAUUUUUUUUUUCUCUUUUUUUUUCAUCUUGUCUCUUUUCUUUUCUCACUUUUUAGAACACAACUCUAAGACACAAGAUACACAACAUAUUUACAAAAACAAAACCAAGAAGAGGAACCAACUAGCCAAUUCAUCAGAAUCCCCAGGUGUUAGCAAAAUGAUGACGAUGAAGUUUUGAUGAUGCCCAAAUCAAGUCAAGAUUUAUCAAGAUUCAUGAAGAUCCUUUGAAGACUUAUUUUUUUUUAUGAAAAGCUUUUGUAAUAAUUGUAGUUUAAUUGUUUAGGACUUUGAUUUGUAGUAGGUUUUGAUUCUUUUACCUUUCUAUUUUGUAUUUGUUGUUUAGAAUCAAAACUUCCCCGUUUUAAUCGAUUAAUCCCUGAUAUAAUCGAUUAAAAUCGCUGCAGAAGCCAAAACCCAAUCAGCUUUGGAAUAAUCGAUUAAAGCAAGUUUUAAUCGAUUAAUUAAUCGAUUAAUCCUGAGAAUAAUCGACUAAUACUAGCCGUUGAAGGUUUCUAAUUUGAAAAACUAGCCGUUGUACUUAUUUUAAU